CUGAGCUUUGGAGAAGUAGUUUCUACUUUCUAGUCUUCUGUUUCUAAUGUAAGGACAAAGAGAUCAGAUAGUAAGUUAUAUGGUUUCUUUUCUUUGGUAUUUGCAUGAAUAUAAGUGCUGGAGUGCUUUGAUUUGUAUUCUUUUUGAAUAAGGCUGUUUAUUCAAUAUUCUUUUAAGCAAUUGACCCUGUAUUUUGUCACCUUAAUACAGAGAGACCAUUUGUAUGUAUUUUUCCUUUCUUUUUUAUAUAAAGCUUUCUUUUAAGA